CUACCCUGCGGAGUGCUCAGGUCCGCCGCAUCUCCUGGGUCCGUAGGGUCGGCCCGGCCGGGGCGGCGAGAGUGGCCUCCUCUAUGACCCGCACCGGCCGGGCCACUUC
rnacentral:sRNA from 1 species